AUUGAACGCUGGCGGCAGGCCUAACACAUGCAAGUCGAACGAGUGGCGGACGGGUGAGUAAUGUCUGGGAAACUGCCUGAUGGAGGGGGAUAACUACUGGAAACGGUAGCUACUACCGCAUACCAUCGGAUUGGCCCCGCUGGGAUUAACUAGGAGGUGGGGUAAAGGCUCACCUAGGCGACGAUCCCUAGCUGGCCUGAGAGGAGGACAAGCCACACUGGAACGGAGACACGGUCCAGACUCCUACGGGAGGCAGCAUUGGGGAAUAUUGCACAAUGGGCGCAAGCCUGAUGCAGCCAUGCAGCGUGUAUGAAGAAGGCCUUCGGGUUGUAAAGUACUUUCAGCGGGGAGGCGUUACCCGCAGAAGAAGCACCGGCUAACUCCGUGCCAGCAGCCGCGGUAAUUC
rnacentral:rRNA from 1 species